rnacentral:misc_RNA from 1 species
GUAGGUGAACCUGCGGAAGGAUCAUUGCCGAUCGGACGCCGGGACGUCGAGCUCUCGCGGGCUCUUCGUUUCGGUGUCUUUUUCGAACAACCCAUGUGAACUCGUUUUAUGUGUUUAACAAAAACAAACUCUUUUGGGGUCUGUUUUUGUCCAAACAUUUUACAAUAAACCACAAUUCAUUGAACUCUUGACUGAGACAAUACAGGUCACGCCUAAAAACGUUGAUCUCAAAAACCUAACCAUUACAACUUUUAACAACGGAUAUCUUGGCUCGC